AUGGAGAACAAUGAGUUUCUGGUUUAUUCUUAUGUCAGCAAGAAAUUGGAUAAUAUCGAGAACCUCCUUGACAAGAUGGAAGCUUUGAGAAAAGAAAGUGAUGAGGCUGAUGCAAGGUUCGCUCAGCUUAGACCAUACAAGGCGUUUGCAUGUGUCUCAGGUAUUUUUGCCUUCUGCUAUUGUGCCAGUCUUUGGUUGAGAUAGCCCAUGAUGG
rnacentral:lncRNA from 1 species